UACGUAGGUGGCAAGCGUUGUCCGGAAUUAUUGGGCGUAAAGCGCACGUAGGCGGUUCGUUAUGUCGGAUGUGAAAGCCCUUGGCUUAACCGAGGAAGUGCAUCCGAAACUGGCGAGCUAGAGUACGAAAGAGGAUCGCGGAAUUCCCGGUGUAGAGGUGAAAUUCGUAGAUAUCGGGAGGAACACCGGUGGCGAAGGCGGCGAUCUGGGUCGAUACUGACGCUGAGGUGCGAAAGCGUGGGGAGCAAACAGG
rnacentral:rRNA from 1 species